UACAGUAUUGCUGUUGGAAGAGGAGCAAACAGUGUGGUAUCUAUGGUCCACCAUCACUUCAAGCAUCAUGGCUAUGGAGAAAAGAAUGUUUCAUUACAUAUGGACAAUUAUAGUGGACAAAAUAAGAAAAGUGUUGUAAUAAGCUAUGGAAUGUGGCUUGUUAUGGUGGGUCUACAUGAUGACUUGGAGUACAACCUGAUUGAGGCCCGGCAUACAGAAUUCAGUCCUGAACAUGUUUAGAAUGUCUUCUGCAUGACCUGGUAUAGAUAGUAUUCUUGAAGGAUUAUAACUUCAACACAGAGAAGGAGAUUAAUAUUUUUAGGCAGGGGGUUGGCAUGACAGGCAAAUUCACCAACCGUAUUACCAUUCCUGAGCUGGAUGCCAGUCGACAGUGGUACCUGUAUAAUGAAAUAGCGCCCCUUUGCAGCAACAGCAAUGUAUGCUCAAAACCAGCAGCGUCAAAGCCAUUAAAAUUGAUAAUUCAAGUCAUUUAAAACGAAGAAUGAAUGGAAAAAAGUGUUUAACAUUUAAAGUAAUACAGAGAAAAGAGCUCUGAAAUUUUGAUUAAUUUGAAAGUGUUUUUGAUUUUUUGAAGAUAUACUAGACCCAAAUUCCAUAUAUUUGAAAAAGAACAAAUGAUACAUAUAGUUUAUGUAAGGCCACACCAAAUUGAUGUCUUGUUCUUCGGAUUUUUUUUCAAAAAUAUUUGGGGCGAGCGAGCGAAAAAAAAAUUAAAAUAUUUUUUUUUUAAAUCAUCAUUUAUUGUUGCGAGCGAAGAGCGAUGAAAUAAAAAAAAGUAAUUAUCGCUUGUGUCAUGUUUAACACCAAAUAAAGUGUAUUUCCAUCUAUAUUGUAUGACAAGCCGAAACAAUCUUAAUUUUGGUUCGGCAAAAAUGUGUACAAAAUAACCUUAUCAGCUGAUGUUCAAACAACAGUUUCGGAGAAAAGACUCUUCACUGAAAUGGGAUUUGGACGUAGUAAGUUAGGAGUCCGAAAAUACAUUUAUUACUGGAUAUUUUAUUGUGUUCCUCAGUGUAAAAGGCACAUGUGGCAAUUAGUGGCUGAAUGUUUGUCCCAUACAUACUGUCAAUGGGUCUUCUUUAUUAGUAUACUUAAGUGGACAUGAGAAUAUUGCCAGGAGUUUCAUGUUUGAUAAUUAUCUUUUAAGUUAGGGUACCUGGUUAGAACUUUAUUCAAACAAAUUUGACUUGAUCCUCGGAAUAUUGAGAGAAGCUUUUCAUAUGCGCAAUAUCUCCACUCGGUUAGGUUGCCCGACAGAAAUAUAUUAAAACAAUCAUUAAUGUGACCGUCAAAUUAUUUGGACUAGUUUGAAUUUUUUAUCACGUGUUUGCAUUUGCAGGGGACAUCAAUCAUUAUACAUUGAAAAUGCAGUUUGUUUUAAACAUAAUUACUAACAAUUGUGAUACUACUUCUUAUUUUCUUCUCUGACCCCGAUACUUCAAAGGAAAAGACUCUCAAUACUUCAAGGAAAAAAAUGUUUUUUACAAGCUGAUACUCACUUUUGCUCUUCCAUUUCGCCAUUUCUUUGGUGUCUUUCCUUUUUAUUAAUUGUGGUAUUUUUCUGGCAGUCCCACAUGAAUUUGAUCGUUGUCCAAUUAUAAUAUACAGACAACAAAUCUCGUACAUGUGAUACGCCAGAUUUUUCAACAUCUGGACAGCGUUGUUAGUGAACGUCAUUUUUCGUAGUUUUACUUGAUUAUUCCCAAUGUUGAGCUUUAGCUGCUGUAAUUUCUACUCGGCUCCAAUUCAUUUACAAUACUUGUUAUCACUACCAACUUAUUCCAAAGAUUAUUGUCUGUUAACUAGUGUAUUUUUUCUAAUUUAAUUUUACACAAUUUCAUUCAUGCAGGCUGCCAUUUUUCAUGCGUCUGCUCACUUUGAUGAAACAAAACCACUACCAUACAGUUAAACUUGUAUUGACAGUAGCAAAUAUGGACGGUCGGCGGUAAAAUGAAAAUAAAAGUACUGAAAAUGACUUUUAUUUUUAUUUCGUUUUGUCAAAAAAUAGGGUCUGCGCUCCCGUAAACUAGAAAAUUAAACAAUGCUGGCCUAAAUUACAAGCUAGGUGCGUUUAAACUUCGGAAUUUCCACCUUUUGUUUUCGUUCCUACUGAUUUCGACCCAGCGCAAAAAAUACGCCAGGUGCGGGCGGUCAAAAAAAAAUUAAAAUAUUUUUUUUUCAUUUCCCGUCAAAUUGGUGCGGGAAAUCCGACGAACAGGUAAUCAAUUUGGUGUGGCCUAAACAUUGAAUUAACAACUUUAUGGUGUCAACAGUACUAUGCAUUUGUUAAAUAUUGACUCACUGUAUACAUGUAAGGCUGAACACAGUAUAAAUGUGAAAUUCCUCUAAAACACUGGAAGAUUUUUCAACAAUAAUUGUAACAUAUAUGGUAGUAAUGUACAUUUUCUUCAUUACGACAGUUGGAUUAUAUAGAUCUACGAAUAUUUUCUGCUGUAUUCAAACUGCAUGUAAUCAUUUCUGUCGGCAGUAUCAUGUUUAUUUUCCCUUUUCAUGAACAAUUAAUUUAACCUGUCUUGAAAGCACAAUAUAUGUAUAAUUUGUAAAACAUACAUUGGAUUAUUGUAGAAACAAUUUAGUUUUUGUAUGCCUAAUUAUAUAUUAUUGCCGUUAGUAUCAUCUAACUCUUUUAAUAUGAUGAAGACAUUUAAUAAGGCAGUUUUCUUAAACUAUUACUGUGUGUUAAAUGAGAUUAUGUAGUAUUAUGUUUACGGAAUUAACUGCGUAACCAUGGAAACAUUUUUCUGUUGUUCUAUAUUAUGUCUUGAAAAGAAAACAUUGUUUGAAGAACACUUUUCAGUGGUGCAUUUUUUUAAAUUUUUACAUGUAAUGGUAAAUGCUGAAAGUGUUCUACAAUAACUUAGCAAAAACGUCAUUGUUGUCUCUUUGAAGCAUAUACUGCAACUCCAUUGUAACCAUAGCAACAGAAAUAUAUUGUAUUAUUUAUGAAUAAUGAUCUUCACAAACAAAUUACAUAUGUUAUUUUUCUUAAAGAAUGACCUAAAUUGGUUUUAUUCCAUAAAAAACAGACAUAGCAAAUAUUCUCAUUUUUAUCUCCGUUUCCAUGGCAACCAUAUAUUUUUUUGCCUCAAAUUAUAGGCGUUGCUUAGGGUUAUAUCUUAGCAUAUUUGAAUGUUAAUUAUACCUUCUGAUGUAAUUGUUAUAAGAGAUUUUCGUGUUUCCAUAAAGAAAAUCAAUCGGUUGCCAUGGCAACAGCAUAAUUU